CAAAUUGAAUCUUCUUUCCAAAAACUUCGCUUUUAACUCUUCAACACUCCAUUUGACUUUACGAAAUUCGCCAACUUAGAAAAUUCUUAACAAUUUAAUCUUCUUCUUCAUUCUUAUAUAAUUUUUUGUCUUUAUUUUUUUCUGCUUCCUUCUUUUAUAAUUUUUUUUUGUCACGUCUCUCCGCCAGCGGCCACGGCGCUGACAACGAUGCCGUUAAAGACCGCCCGCUCCGAGGCUGCAGCGCUAUAGCGACCUCUGCGGUGCCGAUGUCGGCGGAGAGGCGUCAUCGUCAGAGGCGACGGAGGAGGCGAAAUAUGAGGGAAGGGAAAGGGCGAGAAGGGCGAGAGAGGGUGAGAUAGGUGUCGUCGUCGGAGGGGGUGGAGGAGGGUCAGAGUGGGGAAAAAAAAAGUCGCAGCGCGG
rnacentral:lncRNA from 1 species